UACGUAGGGGGCAAGCGUUGUUCGGAUUUACUGGGCGUAAAGGGCGCGUAGGCGGCCCUCCUUGUCGCGUGUGAAAGCCCCGGGCUCAACCUGGGAAUUGCGCGCGAAACGGGGGGGCUUGAGUUCGGGAGAGGAGCGUGGAAUUCCCAGUGUAGAGGUGAAAUUCGUAGAUAUUGGGAAGAACACCGGUGGCGAAGGCGGCGCUCUGGACCGAGACUGACGCUGAGGCGCGAAAGCCAGGGGAGCGAACGGG
rnacentral:rRNA from 1 species